CACAUGUUCCUUUAGGAAUUUGGAGAUCCUUGUGCACUUCACAUGUCAGUCACAUUCUUGUGACCCAUGUGUUCAGGACACAUGUAGAGAUCGGCUCCCAUCUCUUUUCAAGAGAAGUAAAGUAAUCCAUUCAUUCAAGGGAAUAGUUUGACAUUUAGGAAAAUACGCUCAUGCACUUUUUUUGCUGGGAAUUAGAUGAGCAGAUCAAUACCACUCUCAUAUUUGUCUGUUAAAUGUGAGGCUUGACUGGCUUUGAGUAUCUGAUGAUCUUGGCUGCCCACUGUGCCGCCACUUUGGUCGUCAUCUCUGCAAUCCCGAUGCAGCAUUGUCGGAGCUGCAUGGUGUUCUGGGCACUGGCAUUGGACCAGAUAUCCUGAAGGUGCGCUCGUAGUGGCUGGGAAUUUUGGCAAGGCAAACCUACCUUACUUCUAUCAACACAUUAUGUGUCCCAUCAGAGGGGUAGAACCAUUGUUAUUCUCCACUCACGGGGUGUUACAGGGCUAAGACUUUCCCACCAUCCAGCAAGUGAGAUCAUGCUGCUACUUCCUCGUAACAGAAUGUGUAAAAAGGAUGAUAUAGGAAGUUGUGGUGGCAGGAGAGGUCAAGUGUUGGACUGUCCUAUUGGAGGCUAUGCUGCAGAACACGUUGAGUAACAUCAGGAAGUAUUCCAGACCAACUCUGACAACAUCAAAUCUACAGGUUGAUGGAUCCAACUGUGCUGUUUUAGUGGGCUGUGCAGCUGCUUGCAGAUGUGGAGGAAUAUAAGGCGGCGACAGGCUGAGGCAUGUGGUCAGAGUUGCUGAGUGGACUCUAUUCUAGUUAUUAUUAUUAUUGUACACUUAAGCUUUUAAUACAUCCUGUGGAGUAUGCCACCCCUGCAUUUCACUACAUAUAUUAAGAAAUAUGAAUAUGUGACAAAUAAAUCUUUGUACUGUACUUGGGCAUGUCCAGUUGGCACACUGUGUAUGUUAAUACUAACAUAAACCGUGAGGCCAAGUACACAUGGUUGAGACAUUAAAGUUUAUGAGAACAACCAAGACAUCAAACUUUGCGCACCAUUCAAAUGAUGCUGAAUAGUGUAUGACAUCUGGUGGUAGACACACUGGUAAUGGGAGAAACAGCUGGCCUCCUCGGUUUUUAUGUACCCUAGUGUCUUGCUAAGAAUAAUGUGUUAAAAAACAUCUUUUAAGCAGCAGACCUUUGUGAUCGAAGAGGUGAGAAGAGAAUUGCCAGACUUAUCCUACAGUAGGUCACAAACUACAACUGUUAACACCCACGGUGCAAUAAAUCUCCAUGCUGCUGGAGUGAGACGGAAUCCAAAGGGUAAUGGUGUGAUCUGCAAGAAUAACAUGGUUAAAGCAAAAUGAUGGUUAAAUGUUUAAUGGCUGAUUUCUUGAUUCAUUGUUUAUUACUGUAACAAAGUAAUUAAAAGCACAGUUUAGGUGCUUGUAUCAUUCUUUCAUAUUAUGUAAUGGUCCUUGAGGGAGAGGAUGUUAUUCCAGGUGGUCUGCCAAUGCGCCAGAAAAUUACUGCAUCAACCAUGAAUCUAGGAAGACCCUAUGAUCAUUAAUGGAGUGAACAUGACUUUGCUUUUCCUGUCCUCUUGUCCUCCUUUCACCUCUCUUCUCUUCCUCCUUUCAUAUCUGCUCUUACUAACUUUUCUUUUCUUUUCCGUCUUGUCCUCUUUUGCCCUUUCCUUUCUUAUCCUGUCCUCGCCUCACCUUCUUUCCCUCCUCUUGGCUUAACUCCCACAAAUGGUUAACCGACUUGCCCCUCUUUCCCCACUCUCCCAAAUCUCUCUCACAGGCUAGAAAUUUUGGAUCCAAACGCAACUCUUUGAGCCAACAGUGGGGACAUGACCCCAGUGUUAAUUUCUUUGUUGAUGGUGAUGUCCUUUAUUGAUGUGGCUUUCAAGCAGUGUCAUCACAGCGGGCAAUCAAUUCACCUGAACUGACCCUGAAAAGUACACAAACAACUGCAAUGGGAGAACACUCGGAUCUCUGACGUAGAAAUGAUGCAUUCAGACAAUAAGUUUAUACAUGAUUUGUUGUUGCAUAUUGCCUGCUCUUGCUGAAACACUCCAUUGAGAAAUACAGUAAAUUAAGCACAAGAACUGAGUCAUGUUUUGGUUGAAUAUUCACUUUCAUUGAUGUUCAGGACAUUGUGAUGUGAGAGUAAAGUGUAUUGUGCUGGCUGGUGAACUGUGACUGUCCUCUGCUGGAAUAUAAGAUGGGUGCGACUAAUUGUUGACAACAUUCGCUAUAUAGUUCACAGUAAAUUAAACUACUAAAUAAUUUAACACUUACGGAUCAACAUUAUUUUGAGCCAUCACUAACAGGUGUUGUGUCACAUAACUGUGAUUUUCACAUCUAUAAAUGUGUUGCAUUGCGAAAUUGUGGGAAUUUUUAUGAGCACUAGACCAUACAAUUCACAU